ACUGGGGAAUCCCAUGUGAGGAGUAAAUCCAGAACUGCAGAGCCCUCAGAAAAUUGGCAUGUGGAAUGUGGAGAAGUCAAGCAAGCUUUAGGUACCAAGAAAACUUCAAGAAUCUGAACAAGAGCUGUGAAAAGCCUGUGCAGACACUGUCUAAAAUCCUGUUCCUGUCAAGGACUCUCUAAUGUCUUGUGAUCUAUUGGGUACUCAUGAAGUACACAGUAUAUCAUGACAGAUUUGCACC